UAAGCCGUCCCUGCCUUUCCUCUGCAGUAUCUUCAACUGCCCGACACUGGGGCGGCCGCGGCGUAGCGUACUGAGCCCGCACGGUUCCCGGCACUGCUGCCUCGAUCCCGCGGAGAAGGGAGCAAAUCCGGAGCCCCCCUGCAGGCAGGGCCUGAGCUGUGCUUUUUGCAGGUCGCGCAGCUCAGCCCCAGCUCCGUGCUGGAUCGCGCUCCCGCGGACGCGAGGGCUGGAGCCGACCGUGGCAGCUCCCAGGCAGAGGCAGCGGUUUCCCUUCCGUACUCGGGGCUGGCUCCUCCUAAGCGCGGACCAGCGGACGUGGGUGCUGGGAGCUUGCCGAGGCAGGGCAAGACGCGCUGUGCUGCAGCCCACAGGGAAACUACCAGCUCAGCAUGGAAAUAACGCCGGGGGAGGAGGGUUUAGCACUUCGGAGAAGUUGGAGCCGCUGGAGCAGACGUGCCGCGGAGACCUCCGGCAGCUCCGCCGCGUUUGCGCUGGCUUUGCGCUAGCAGGGAGCCGCAGGCCGCCGACCCUUCUCUGGUCUGGCCUGCAUUCUGGGCAAGAAACCUGUCCCAACACAUCUGCGCUGAAUAAAGGCACCUAAAGUCCUGCACAGACUCAAAACACCCAUGUCUGCUCUGCCAGGCACAGUCCUGAGCCAGUCUAACUGCUCUGCACCAGCUUCUCUGAGCAGGACGCUGCGGGCAGGAAGGGCAUCGGGACUGUUGCAGCGCAGGAGUCUCUUCUGCGGCCCCGUGCCUUGCUUCCACGCUUGCCUACAGCGUUGCUGUCACCUUGCCACGGCGUCAGUGCCCAAGAAACCAACACCUGCAAGCUUGCAGGCUUGGCCGCGGCACUCGCUGGUUCUCGCCAGCGAGGGAAGGACGGGCCGGGUGACGCGGGAGACGACUCUUGAGCACGUGGAGAUGCCGGGUGGCCAGGUGCACGUGUCCCCGCGGCGGCCCGCCCGGCUGCAGGAGCUGCGGAGGAGCCCGAGCUCUGCAUCGCGGCUGGGGUGCCUUCCCCCGAGCGGCCUCCGCCACGGUUCCCUCCCAGCCGUGCACGCUGCCGUGGGUCGCCAAACUAAACAGCUUUACAUCGCCUUCCAAGCUCGGAUCUCCUCCGUGGCAUGGCAGGGGGAGGCAGAUGAGGAAAGCAAGGAAAAGCUUCGCUGCACACCUGCAGAAAGCUGCCCGCUUCGGAGCGCGAUCGGGCUGCUCAAGGCCCCUUCAGGGGAGGUGUGAAAUCCCCCGAGGCCGGAGGCCGCCCUGCAGCUCGGGGCCCCUCUUCCAGCGGUCGCUGGCCAUCCUCCCAUCCACCGCCCGGGCUCCUCGCUGCAGCCCGCGGCCGCGGCCUGCUGCCGCGCUUCAUUCAAGAGCGGUAGCAGCCCCUGCAGAAGAGCCGUCCUGCCUCUCCGUCUGCUCUCGGGGAGGGAAGGGGAGAAACGGAGCAUUCGGCAGGAGCAAGGGACCGCGCUGCCCCCGGGCGCUCCCGGCGCCGGGCUCAGCCCCGGGCUCGGGGACCAGCCCCGCCGCGGGGACGCCUGCGCCGCGCCGACGGCUGCGCUGCUGGCGGCCGCUUCUACACCGCGCUUCAAAACCGGAGAGGGGCGUUCGGACCUAUUUCCCUGGGUGUUUCAGUCCGGCUUGGCGCCAGCAAACCGCCCUUCCCGACCAAACGUCGGCUCCUUUCGGCUCUGGGGAAAAGCGCAAUCCCGGGGAAGCCCUGUCCAGCUGGACAGCAGGCAUUUCUCUUUCUGUUAGUUCCGUGUUUUCUUCUCUUACUUGGAAUGAGAUAAAAUCGUUGAAUUUGUGCUGUC